CUCUAGAGCUAAUACAUGCGAGAAGCGCCGACUUCGCGGGAGGCGUGCAUUUAUCAGACCAAAAACCGGCCGCGUCUUCGGGCGCGUUCGCCUUGGUGACUCUGGAUAACUUUGCGGAUCGCACGGUCUAGCACCGGCGACGGAUCAUUCAAGUGUCUGCCCUAUCAACUUUCGUCGGUACGGUAUUUGCCUACCGAGGUUCUUACGGGUGACGGGGAAUCAGGGUUCGAUUCCGGAGAGGGAGCCUGAGAAACGGCUACCACAUCCAAGGAAGGCAGCAGGCGCGCAAAUUACCCAUUCCCGACGCGGGGAGGUAGUGACGAAAAAUAACAAUGCAGGACUCGUUCGAGGCCCUGUAAUUGGAAUGAGUACACUUUAAAAGCUUUAACGAGUAUCCAUUGGAGGGCAAGUCUGGUGCCAGCAGCCGCGGUAAUUCCAGCUCCAAAAGUAUAUAUUUAAGUUGUUGCGGUUAAAAAGCUCGUAGUUGGAUUUUGGGCGCAGGCGGCCGGUCCGUCGCAAGGCGUGUACUGGACGUCCUGGCCUUCCCUCCGGUUCUCCGCCGGUGCUCUUGACUGAGUGUCGGCGGCGGCCGGAACGUUUACUUUGAAAAAAUUAGAGUGUUCAAAGCAGGCUCUCGAGCCUGGAUAAUGGUGCAUGGAAUAAUGGAAUAGGACCUCGGUUCUAUUUUGUUGGUUUUCGGAGCGCGAGGUAAUGAUUAAGAGGGACAGACGGGGGCAUUCGUACUGU
rnacentral:ncRNA from 1 species